rnacentral:lncRNA from 10 species
UAGGAGCACCUGGAAGCUGCCAUCUAAUGAGCACAUGACAAGAAGGCAAAGACAAUAAACAUGUAAAAGCCGGCAGCAAGGCCUGGAGAAGAGUAAGCCGCCAUGUGACUGUUUAGAAUAUAGUCUGAGCACAAACCUGAAAAAAAAAUUUUAUUUAUUUUAAAUUGUGGCAAAAUACUGGCCAGGCAUGGUAGCUCACGCCUGUAAUCCUAGCAAUUUGGGAGGCCGAGGUAAAUGGAUGACCUGAGGUCAAGAGUUCAAGACCAGCCUGGCCAAUACAAAAAUUAGCCGGGCAUGGUGGCGCAUGCCUGUAAUCCCAGCUACUUGGGAGGCUGAGGCAGGAGAAUCGCUUGAACCUGGGAGGCAGAGGUUGCAGUGAGCUGAGAUCGUGCCACUGCACUCAAGCCUGGGUGACAGAGCGAAACUCCGUCUCAAAAAAAAAAGUUUCUUCCUUACAUGUAUGUUUCUAUUAGUUUUCUUCUUGGUCUUUCUCAUUUAGUCUUGUGUUGUCUUUUGACAUUCAUAGUAAACUUUUAUCUGCCUCCAGAGAGUAUUGACUUUGAGUUUAUGGCACACAAUUGGAGUAAGGGCAGAUCGCCUUCAUCUACUUUGGGACUAAGCUGGUUCAAAGCAGGUUUUAGGUUUUCUGAUGGCUGGUCUAUGUUUUAUUCAUUUGGACUCCCAGGGGUGGCCCUUCCAGGGUCCCCACCAAGGUCCCAUCUCCUUCCUGGGACCCAAAUUCUCAUUAGGUCAUUUCAGCCCUGUGAGAGUGCCAAACAUUCAGCUAGGCUCUCCAGCCUCUUAACUACCACUUCAUACUCAGUUUCUUAGCCUCUUAGCCCUCUACUGUUGACCAAUCACCAAAUGUGGGAAAGCACUACAGACUGUCAGGAUCACCUCCUAGGCCUGGUCACUCAAGUCCUGACUGAGGUCUCCAAUUACCUUCCAACAAUUGUUUUUGAUUGGGGGCGGGGCACAUUUUUAUCCAGUUUUUCUAACUGCUCUUGUGGGGAGGCGAAUCUGUAACAAGCUCCUCUGCCUUUACUGAAAGUUGAAAACCUUCAUCUGUCCUUUUUUUGUUGUUGUUGAGAUGGAGUCUUGCGCUGUUGCCCAGGCUCUAGUGCAAUGGCACGAUCUCUGCUCACUGUAACCUCUGCCUCCUGGGUUCAAGCAAUUCUCCUGCCUCAGCUUCCCGAGUAGCGUGUGCCACCAUGCCUGGCUAAUUUUUUUUUAUACCUUUAAUAGAGGCAGGAUGUCACCAUGUUUUCCAGGCUGGUCUCGAGCUCCUGACUCAGGUGAUCUACCUGCCUCAGCCUCCCAAAGUGCUGGGAUUACAAGUAUGAGCCACUGCAUCCGGCCCAUCUGUCUUUUAAAACAUGUUUUUAAUUGGAGGUAUAAUUUCUAUUAGUGAAAUGCACAGGUCUGGUUUACAUUUUGAUGAGUUUUAACUCAUUUAACAUUACUAUGGAACCCACCUCCUUUGAAGAUACAGAGUAUUUCUAUCAUCCAGAAAGUUCUCCUGUGCUUUCAUGCUGUCCCGCACUCCCCCAGCAGCUGAUGAACAUGCUGAGGACAUUGGUACUGGAUUCUGGCCGCCCCAAAAGAGCCGCUUUGACCAGGCUUACCCAGCACUAAAUCCCUGCCUGCUCUCUCAAAAUUUCCAUCUUUAAACUGGUUGUACCUAUAACCCUCCCUCAUCAAGUCAAUAGAUAAACAAACCCUGAAAAAUAAACAACUCUUCCUGGCCCAGC